CUUCAUUUAAAAAAAAAAGAUUCACGACUAUAGAAUUCUGAACAGCUAUAAAACGUUUCAGUUCGUAGCUGCAAUUGUUGAAUUUAUUAAGACAUUAAAACCGACAAGAUGAAAGCCAUCAUCACCGCUGCUGUAGCUGUAGCCACAAUCUGCUACUUCUUUGUUGUCGCGAGUGCCAAUCCCUUGUGUGUCAAUAUUUGUAUCAUUGACCCGUGUCCAUGCUUUGGUUAGCUGAGUUCAUGUUAAAGAAAUCAAAGGUAUAAUGAAAAGGAAAUAAUGUUGACAUAACAAACAGUUCGUAUGCCACAUACAUGUCUAGUGUUUGUAAAUGCAACUGUUAAUCAAUGUUUUACAAAACAAAGUGAGCUAAGCGUGAA